rnacentral:rRNA from 1 species
AGAGCGAACGCUGGCGGCAGGCCUAACACAUGCAAGUCGAGCGCCGUAGCAAUACGGAGCGGCAGACGGGAGAGUAACACGUGGGAACGUACCUUUCAGUUCGGAACAACCCAGGGAAACUUGGGCUAAUACCGGAUACGCCCUUACGGGGAAAGAUUUAUCGCUGAAAGAUCGGCCCGCGUCUGAUUAGCUAGUUGGUGGGUAACGGCCCACCAAGGCUACGAUCAGUAGCUGGUCUGAGAGGAUGAUCAGCCUCACUGGGACUGAGACACGGCCCAGACUCCUACGGGAGGCAGCAGUGGGGAAUAUUGGACAAUGGGCGCAAGCCUGAUCCAGCCAUGCCGCGUGGAUGAUGAAGGCCCUAGGGUUGUAAAGUCCUUUCGGGCGGGGAAGAUAAUGACGGUACCCGCAGAAGAAGCCCCGGCUAACUUCGUGCCAGCAGCCGC